GUGCGAGUGCGAACGGGUGAGUAAUAUAUCGGAACGUGCCCAGUAGUGGGGGAUAACUGCUCGAAAGAGCAGCUAAUCCCGCAUACGACCUGAGGGUGAAAGGGGGGGAUCGCAAGACCUCUCGCUAUUGGAGCGGCCGAUAUCAGAUUAGCUAGUUGGUGGGGUAAAGGCCUACCAAGGCAACGAUCUGUAGUUGGUUUGACAGGACGACCAGCCACCUGGGACUGAGACACGGCCCAGACUCCUACGGGAGGCAGCAGUGGGGAAUUUUGGACAAUGGGCGCAAGCCUGAUCCAGCAAUGCCGCGUGCAGGAAGAAGGCCUUCGGGUUGUAAACUGCUUUUGUCAGGGAAGAAAUCCUCUAGGUUAAUACCCUUGGGGGGAGACGGUACGUGAAGAA
rnacentral:rRNA from 1 species